rnacentral:rRNA from 1 species
ACGGCUCAGUAACACGUCGGUAACCUACCCUCGGGAGGGGGAUAACCCCGGGAAACUGGGGCUAAUUCCCCAUAGGCCUGAGGUACUGGAAGGUCCUCAGGCCGAAAGGGACUUAUGUCCGCCCGAGGAUGGGCCGGCGGCCGAUUAGGUAGUUGGUGGGGUAAUGGCCCACCAAGCCGAAGAUCGGUACGGGCUGUGAGAGCAGGAGCCCGGAGAUGGACACUGAGACACGGGUCCAGGCCCUACGGGGCGCAGCAGGCGCGAAACCUCCGCAAUGCGGGAAACCGCGACGGGGGGACCCCGAGUGCCGUGGCAACGCCACGGCUUUUCCGGAGUGUAAAAAGCUCCGGGAAUAAGGGCUGGGCAAGGCCGGUGGCAGCCGCCGCGGUAAUACCGGCGGCCCGAGUGGUGGCCGCUAUUAUUGGGCCUAAAGCGUCCGUAGCCGGGCCCGUAAGUCCCUGGCGAAAUCCCACGGCUCAACCGUGGGGCUUGCUGGGGAUACUGCGGGUCUUGGGACCGGGAGAGGCGGGGGGUACCCCUGGGGUAGGGGUGAAAUCCUAUAAUCCCAGGGGGACCGCCAGUGGCGAAGGCGCCCCGCUGGAACGGGUCCGACGGUGAGGGACGAAGGCCAGGGGAGCAAACCGGAUUAGAUACCCGGGUAGUCCUGGCUGUAAAGGAUGCGGGCUAGGUGUCGGGUGAGCCUCGAGCUCGCCCGGUGCCGUAGGGAAGCCGUUAAGCCCGCCGCCUGGGGAGUACGGCCGCAAGGCUGAAACUUAAAGGAAUUGGGCGGGGGAG